AUUGAACGCUGGCGGCAGGCCUAACACAUGCAAGUCGAGCGAGCGGCGGACGGGUGAGUAAUGUAUGGGGACUGCCCGAUAGAGGGGGCUAACUACUGGAAACGGUGGCUAAUACCGCAUACUAUCGGAUAACCCAUAUGGGAUUAGCUAGUAGGUGGGGUAAAGGCUCAACUAGGCGACGAUCUCUAGCUGGUCUGAGAGGAUGAUCGGCCACACGGGGACUGAGACACGGCCCAGACUCCUACGGAGGCAGCAGUGGGGAAUAUUGCACAAUGGGCGAAAGCCUGAUGCAGCAAUGCCGCGUGUAUGAAGAAGGCCUUAGGGUUGUAAAGUAAUGUCAGCGGGGAGGCGUUACCCGCAGAAGAAGCACCGGCUAACUCCGUGCCAGCAGCCGCGGUAAUUC
rnacentral:rRNA from 1 species